GACGAACGCUGGCGGUGUGCUUAACACAUGCAAGUGGUGCGACGAACCAGAGCUUGCUCUGGGGCAAAGCCGCGAACGGGUGAGUAACACGUGGGUAAUCUACCCCGAUGACCGGGACAACCCGAGGAAACUCGGGCUAAUACCGGAUGUGGUUCGGAGACAUAAGUCUCUUCACUAAAGGUAGCUUCUGCUUCCGCAUUGGGAGGGGCCCGCGGCCCAUUAGCUUGUUGGUGGGGUCAAGGCCUACCAAGGCAACGAUGGGUAGCUGGUCUGAGAGGACGAUCAGCCACACUGGGACUGAGACACGGCCCAGACUCCUACGGGAGGCAGCAGUGGGGAAUCUUGCGCAAUGCGCGAAAGCGUGACGCAGCAACACCGCGUGAGGGAAGAAGGCCUUAGGGUUGUAAACCUCUUUCAGAUGGGACGAAGGUUAUCCGGUGAAUAGCCGAGAGGAUUGACGGUACCGUCAGAAGAAGCUCCGGCUAACUACGUG
rnacentral:rRNA from 1 species